GCCACCGUACCCCAAAGGCAGAGGGGGCCGGCUCAGACCCGGUCAACGUGCAGGUUCGACUCCUGCCGGUGGUA
rnacentral:tRNA from 1 species